UUCUGCUCCCCUGUUCCCUGCAUCACGACAUCGUGGGAGGCAGGAGAUCCUUCAUCCCAUUGGUGGUAAUCGCAUCCUAGCAUGUAUGUAAUCAACCCAAAAACCCUAGACUAGUGAGGGUAAGCAUGUGUGUGUGUGCGGCUGAAGAGAGAGGCAGAGAGAGAUUGAUAUUGAGAAAAAUAAAGAGAGACAGUAAGGCGAUGAGACGUCGAUGUUAGGAGGCGGGUCUAGCUCACUUCGCCGAAGAUGAAGGCACCGUUGGAGAGGGCAAUACCAUCGGUGAGGCAUCAUAAUGGUUUGAGCGAUGAGCUCAACCUUCGGUGGUGAGGUACAUGUCGGAGGGCCAUUUGGGUUCAUGGUGAGCUCCUCUUGACCAACAUGUAGAGAACGGGAUGUGAGCAAUGAUUAAAACUUGAUAAUGGGAAUGAGAUAGAACCGCCGGCGUCAGUGUAUAAGGAAUCGUCGCCGGGAAUGGAAGCUUUUGUUGGUGCCUUUAAAGAGAACGGGAAUGGGUUUUGCUGGAGUUGAGAUAGUGAUGUUCAGAAAGGAUUCAAUGGUUUUGGUGAGCAAUGUCAUCGGUGAUAAACCGUCAAUGGCGGUGGUGGUUAACGGAGUCCUUAAUCUUCGUCUUGCCCUUGAAAUCUCAGCCUUACUGUCGCCAAAAUAAGUAAUUCAUUGUUAAUGCUUUCAAGGAUAUCGGGUAAUGGGAGAUUUGAGAGGAUGAUGUAAGAUAAAGAGAAAGAGGGAGAUGUCGCCGGAGAAGGAGGCUGCACAGGUGAAGCUGCAUCGCUGGAGGUGACGUCGACAGGGAACCUUCAGGCGGCGGAGGAAGAUCACUUAGGUGGUUGGUGAUAGCUACUGAUGGGAUUCAACUCUUUGAUCCAGGUACAUCAGAGGAUCACGACAAGGCAAAGGCAUGAUCGUACAACUCCUCAUGUUUUGUUUAUGUUUCUGGGAAAACUCUGAUAUUAUACAUUUUGAAAACAAGUUUGUAAUGAUUAAUGGUUUUGAAACGUUUUAAAAAAAAGUUCGAAUUUGGCAUGAUUUUUAUGGGUGUCACAAGUUGGUAUCAUAGCCUUGGUUUGAGUGAAUUGGAGGAACAUUGUGUGAAUCCAAUCUCAAAUUAAGGAAAAAUAUUUUAAAAAGGAUUUUCAAAUGGUUUUCAAAUAAUGAAGGAGGAAGCAAGUGUACGAUCAGCCGGAGCUCGCGGAUAGACCCCAAAAUACCAUACUGUUAUUUGAUGUUAUGAUGUGAUAGAACAACAUGCUAGAGAUAGGCUAGGAAUCUUCAGGAAUUGCAUGAUAGAAAUUGUCUGAUUAUAUGAUGCCUGCUAGCCUUGGGUUUUCCUUAUAUGAGAUUGACAUCAUUACUGUAGUUGCUUAGUGUAUGCAUCAUAGUUAUACAUAAUUAAGAUCUUAUAGCCUGAGAAUGUUUGGUUUGGCCUUAUGUUCUAUUCUUGUUUGAUUGGGGGAUUAGGUUAGGAUCAGAUAUUUGAAAGUCUAUAAGGUCCAACGUUAUAUGUGACUAGCAUACUCUAGUGCUGCAUGGUUGGUUGAAGUUUCAUGGGUGUGUUGUGAGAGGCCGAAAGGAUAGUUAUGAGAUAUUUAGCAUUCCUAUAGGGGUGAUGAUUGAGUGCUCGCUAUGUUUAUGUAUAUUGUUAGGGUGUUGUGGUGAUACUUGGGACAAAUAUGGAUAGGUGUGGAAGGUAGUAUGGGCCCGUACUACUGGAAGCACAUGAUCCAUAUGCAUGUCAAGGAAGUGACAACCCCUAGGGUUUGGUUGGGAGUUGGUUCCCUUUUAUUAUAUGGACUAUCAGAGAUCUUUCUGGGGUAUUAUCAUAAUGGUGGUUACGAGACGUCUUGAGACCAUAUCCGGGUAUGGAUCGGGGGCUGGUAGCCAGGAUAGUCUAGUAUUGUCAAAAGAUCGUGUUAGGGAGAUCAUCUAGAAGGAGGUGAUCGAGAUUGUCCGGGGAUAGUUGUCGAGGAUGUUUGGGUCUAUCAAGACUACCAUGGUUAAGUAUUUUGAUGAUCGCUAUGCCGCCAUUGCCGAGACAGCUGUCGCGACAGCUACAACAACUGUAACGGUGGCAGGGGAGGAGCCAUUCGAGCUUUCCAGUAUCGGGACUUUGAUAACACGAAGCCCCAACUUUUGAUGGGGUUCAAGACCCGAUUGUAGCCAUUAGGUGGCUGUCUGAUGUGGAGGGAUAUUGCUUCACAUGUUCAUGUUCUGCUGACCAGGAGGUCAGGUGCGCUCUGAACCUGCUGAGGUCCGGGGCGAAGGAUUGGUGGAGACUUAUUACUGGGACGUAUUUUGAUGAGUAGAGAGCUGCAGUUACUUGGGAUUAGGGAGAUGUUCCGUACUCGUUACAUUUGGCGAUUGAGCAGGAGAGGUUGUCACAGGAGUUUCUGGAUUUGAGGCUUCGAGGGUUUUGCUCGAGGCUAGGGUGUGAGUCGCGGGGAUUAGGAAGGGAGUGAUAAUGAUGACCAGCUCGAGUUUUGUAGCUGGAAGUAGAAGGGUUGAUUGAUGGAUUGGAAUGUUGUUAUCGAGGGCAAGGGUUGUGCCCUUUCAGUUUUCUGAGUUCAAAGGAGUGAGCAGGCUUGUGACCUCUGGGUCAGGUUGUAUUUCCAGCUCAGGGUCAGUUGGUCGCAGGGGUUGGUGAAAGUAUUCCAGCACUGGUGAGCGCAGGUUGGUCGAUUUGGCAUGAGUAUCUUGCAAGGAGAGUUAGGUACCAUAUUCUCGGGUAGGUCGGGUGCCGGAUUGUCAUUUGGAUUGUAAACAGGGAUUAGUUCAUGUCACCUGGGAUCGAAGGGGAGUUUCUUGCGUGACCUCAGGUUGGUUAGGGUAACUCGGGAGGAGGAGGUCAGGACUUCUUUGGAUGUUUUGAGGGUGUGUGAUCCCCUAUAUUCUUCGGGGUUGUAUCGAGAAUUGUAUUGUGUUGGUAUAUUGUUGGAUUGGGUAAGUUAUAUUCCGGGUUGACUAUCUGUUAUUUCUUUGGGUUAUUGGGGGUCGUUAUAUGUCAUUCUGCACGCUGGAAGUCUUCAGCUGAAAUUCAGGUUUCUCUUGGGUUCUGAUUGAUCUGUAGCAGGAGGAUCGUUUUACGUACGUUAUCCAUUCCAUGGUCAGGAAAAAAAACGUACCUGGUUUAGCCGGUUUGAGUUAUGAGUUGAUUUCUAACCAUUGAGUGGUGGUUAGAACCCUAAGUGGGGGAGAAUUGGGACUUCUCAAGUUGAGUGUCAGGCAUUGAAGGUUUUAUCAGUUGCUGUCCGGACUGCUGUUUUCAGGUUUGUUGGGCAGAUAUCGAUCGGUGAACCUCUCCAGAAGUAGGUAUGUUCAACCCCAGGUGGAUUUUUGAUUCUCUGGUUUUGUUGAAUCAUGAAGUGACCCUCUUAACUUAGUCUACCACAGCCCUCAAGGAUCCGUAGUCAAGCUCUCAUCAACAGUUGCAUCCGAAGUCAUCUAUCCAACCGCAGUCUUACUUACUUAGUUUAAAUUUAUCUAUCUUUUCUGUAAUACUCUCUAUUGUCCAGUACGCCUUGCAUGGCUACUCUUAGAGAAUUAAUCAAAUGUAAUUCUUGAGUCUCUAUAUAUAGAGCUUAUCCUUUCAUAGUUUAAAA